GCUCUUUGGAGGAGAUUGCCUCAGCAUUUCCUGGUGAAGGCAUUCAUAUUGGAGACUGCUGGUUUCAUCAUCUUAGUGGAAGAUCUCUAUAGGACUAGAUUCCUCCUCUGAUAAGGAGAAAACUUGACACGUAGACAUGAAAUUUGGUCGUUUUCUUCCCUCCUUGCCCAUUUUGAUCACACAAAUCAAAAUCUGUGGUGACAGGGAAAGGAAGAACCAGAAAAGUCGUUAUUUGCAUUCAACUGCUCAAGACUUGCAAAGGAUUCCAGGAUUUAGUAUGACCAUGGAGCAUGUGGGCUUUUCUGCAAGUUACAAUUUGUCAUUUGAUGGCAAGCUUGGCAUUUAAACAAGUAUCAGAUAAAAAUGCAUAUGAUAACUUUUGAAGCCAUACUUUUCAAGUGUGAAGUAUGUAAAAGGAUAGUUUUUAAGUAAAACAGUCAUUACAUGAACAUUUUAACUUAGUGGAUACAAGAUGUCUGUGCAAAUCUCUUCCUGGAGAAUCAAAUGACCGUGCAGUAUAAUGUGCAAUGAAAAAGUAAGAGAUAAUGUAGCUGUGGAAGUUUCCUUUACCAAUUGUAACCUCUUAUACAUUUUACUGUUUUGAAACUUCAUACACACAAAAUCUCUGGUUUCAAUUGUAUCUAGCCAGAGGGAAAUGUAAAUUACAUUAAAACUACAUCAAAAACUAUAUUAGAAAUUGAAGUUUAAAAACUAUUAAAAAUUAUAAUUUUGUAUACACUUAUAAGAAUUAAGCAGAUAUUCAUCAUAUUAAGAUGUCUGCAUGCACUCCAAUCCCCCCACUGCAAUACGGCUGCCUCCAGUUCAGCAUCCAACACUUGUUUUCCUUUAGAAUCUAGAUUCAGUUUUCAUUCUCCAAACUCCAAGAGAUCCAUUUGUUGAGCUCUGACUGGAGAUAUGACUCUGAGAAAAGUUAAUUAUCACACAUCCUUCUGCAAAUACUGCUACCAAAGAUCUUCUGAAGCUCAGGAAGAAAGUACAAUCCUCGCAUUUUCUCUAUUGCUCAUAUUGGUUGAAAACCCAGAUCUGUAAACCUUUCCAAAUUACAUAAGAAAGUCUAAACAUGUGAGCUAUCACUUAUACAUAUACAUCAAGGCACAACAAUCUCCCCUCUAAGUGAAACUACAGAAUAUGAACAAAUAGAAACAUUUGAAGAACUAAUGUGGAUCUCUUCAGGUCUCUGUUGUUGAUACAUCAUUUUUGAAAGGGGCCAUGCCAGCCCUAUUUUGAUAAUAUAAUAAAUACAUUAAAUGAGUCCAAAGGUCCUCUCCACUUUCAUCACCCUGAAUUUAUUUAUUUUAUUUUACAGCUAUCCUUGGUCUUUGCAAUCCUUUCCUUGCAGAGUGCAGUAACUUACAUUUUCCCCCAUGCUGCUGUACAAAAAAUAAAUAAAUUGAUAAUUAAAAAGUU